AUCAGAGAAGAGUAGAUUUUUUAAUUUUUUGCCUGCGGUAAUCAGCGAAUUGGUUUAUUUCAUCAAAGGAGCUGCAAAGCUGCAAUGAAUUUAUUCAAAUGAUCGGGAAAGAGAAGCGAAACAUUGGUGAUCUAAAUACAAGGAGGUUGGGGGAUUUCCCUCAUCUGGACCAAUGCUAUUCAAGAAUAGCAAAAAAAUGACAAUCAAGCUAGCCAAUAAAA